rnacentral:rRNA from 1 species
GAUGAACGCUAGCUACAGGCUUAACACAUGCAAGUCGAGGGGAAACGGCAUCGAAAGCUUGCUUUUGAUGGGCGUCGACCGGCGCACGGGUGAGUAACGCGUAUCCAACCUGCCCAUCACUUGGGAAUAACCUUGCGAAAGUAAGACUAAUGCCCAAUGACAUCCCACGAAGGCAUCCGAAUGGGAUUAAAGAUUUAUCGGUGAUGGAUGGGGAUGCGUCUGAUUAGCUUGUUGGCGGGGUGACGGCCCACCAAGGCAACGAUCAGUAGGGGUUCUGAGAGGAAGGUCCCCCACAUUGGAACUGAGACACGGUCCAAACGCCUACGGGAGGCAGCAGUGAGGAAUAUUGGUCAAUGGGCGAGAGCCUGAACCAGCCAAGUAGCGUGCAGGAUGACGGCCCUAUGGGUUGUAAACUGCUUUUAUAAGGGAAUAAAGUGGGUCACGUGUGACUUUUUGCAUGUACCUUAUGAAUAAGGACCGGCUAAUUCCGUG